rnacentral:rRNA from 1 species
UACGGGGGGAGCAAGCGUUGUUCGGAUUUACUGGGCGUAAAGGGCGCGUAGGCGGUCGUGACAAGUCACUUGUGAAAUCUCCGGGCUUAACCCGGAACGGUCAAGUGAUACUGUCGGACUAGAGUACAGAAGGGGCAACUGGAAUUCUCGGUGUAGCGGUGAAUGCGUAGAUAUCGAGAGGAACACCUGCGGCGAAGGCGGGUUGCUGGGCUGACACUGACGCUGAGGCGCGAAAGCCAGGGAGCGAACGGG